rnacentral:rRNA from 1 species
CCUACGGGGCGCAGCAGUGAGGAAUAUUGGUCAAUGGGCGGGAGCCUGAACCAGCCAAGUCGCGUGAAGGAAGAAGGUACUUAGUAUUGUAAACUUCUUUUGUCGGGGAACAAAGGCGGAGACGCGUCUCCGGAUGAGUGUACCCGAAGAAAAAGCCCCGGCUAACUACGUGCCAGCAGCCGCGGUAAUACGUAGGGGGCAAGCGUUAUCCGGAUUUACUGGGUGUAAAGGGAGCGUAGACGGCAUAGCAAGUCUGAUGUGAAAGAUCGGGGCUCAACCCCGGGCCUGCAUUGGAAACUGUUAAG